rnacentral:rRNA from 1 species
UACGUAGGGUGCGAGCGUUGUCCGGAAUCAUUGGGCGUAAAGAGCGUGUAGGCGGCCCGAUAAGUCCGCUGUGAAAGUCCAGGGCUCAACCCUGGGAUGCCGGUGGAUACUGUCGGGCUCGAGUCCGGAAGAGGAGUGUGGAAUUCCGUGGUGUAGCGGUGAAAUGCGCAGAUAUCAGGAGGAACACCAAUGGCGAAGGCAGCACUCUGGGACGUGACUGACGCUGAGACGCGAAAGCGUGGGGAGCAAACAGG